rnacentral:rRNA from 1 species
UACGUAGGGGGCAAGCGUCAUCCGGAUUUACUGGGUGUAAAGGGAGCGUAGACGGCGAUGCAAGCCAGAUGUGAAAGCCCGGGGCUCAACCCCGGGACUGCAUUUGGAACUGUGUGGCUGGAGUGUCGGAGAGGCAGGCGGAAUUCCUAGUGUAGCGGUGAAAUGCGUAGAUAUUAGGAGGAACACCAGUGGCGAAGGCGGCCUGCUGGACGAUGACUGACGUUGAGGCUCGAAAGCGUGGGGAGCAAACAGG